UAAGGUGAAAUCCGAGAACACUCUUCC
rnacentral:piRNA from 1 species